rnacentral:rRNA from 1 species
UACGUAGGGGGCGAGCGUUGUCCGGAAUUACUGGGUGUAAAGCGCGUGUAGGCGGCCUGCCAAGUCUGCUGUGAAAGCGCCUGGCUUAACCGGGCGAGGUCGGUGGAAACUGGCGGGCUGGAGGCCGGUAGAGGGGGGUGGAAUUCCCGGUGUAGUGGUGAAAUGCGUAGAGAUCGGGAGGAACACCAGUGGCGAAGGCGGCCCCCUGGGCCGGGCCUGACGCUGAGACGCGAAAGCGCGGGGAGCGAACGGG